rnacentral:misc_RNA from 1 species
GAUGAAGAACGUAGCGAAAUGCGAUAAGUAAUGUGAAUUGCAGAAUUCAGUGAAUCAUCGAAUCUUUGAACGCACCUUGCACCCUUUGGCAUUCCGAAGGGUAUGCUCGUUUGAGUGUCAUUGUACUCUCACACUCCCAAUUGCUUUGGAUUGGGAGCGGUGGACUUGGGUGUUGCUGCUUGACUGAGGCUCACCUGAAAUAUGUUAGUGCACCUCUUGAUUGGACAUAGUACGGCGUGAUAAGUGUCUUCGCCGGCUCCUCGCAAAGAGGGUGGCCGAUCGGGAGCUCUGUUGCUUCAAACUGUCUUCGGACAAUCUUCUGGCGACCUGACCUCAAAUCGAGUAGGACUACCCGCUGAACUUAAGCAUAUCAAUAAGCGGGGA